rnacentral:rRNA from 1 species
UACGUAGGGGGCGAGCGUUGUCCGGAGUUACUGGGCGUAAAGCGCACGCAGGCGGUCUGCUAAGUUUGGAGUGACAGUUGGUGGCUUAACUGCCAAAGUGCUUCGAAAACUGACAGACUUGAGGGCUUCAGAGGGACACGGAAUUCCGGGUGGAGUGGUGAAAUGCGUAGAUAUCAGGAGGAACACCUGUGGCGAAAGCGGCGCACUGGACCACAACUGACGCUGAGGCGCGAAAGCUAGGGGAGCAAACAGGA